GUGUCAGCCGCCGCGGUAAUACCAGCUCUCCGAGUGGUGGGGAUGAUUAUUGGGCCUAAAGCAUCCGUAGCCGGCUGGACAAGUCCCCUGUUAAAUCCAACGAUCCAAUCGUUGGUCUGCGGGGGAUACUGUCCGGCUUGGGGGCGGGAGAGGCCGCCGGUAUUUCCGGGGUAGGGGUGAAAUCCUAUAAUCCCGGGAGGACCACCAGUGGCGAAGGCUGUCGGCUAGAACGCGCCCGACGGUGAGGGAUGAAAGCUGGGGGAGCGAACCGGAUUAGAUACCCGGGUAGUCCCAGCUGUAAACGAUGCAGGCUAGGUGUUAGGGCGGCUACGUGCCGCUCUAGUGCCGCAGGGAAGCCGUUAAGCCUGCCGCCUGGGGAGUACGGUCGCAAGGCUGAAACUUAAAUGAAUUGACGGGG
rnacentral:rRNA from 1 species